UCUCCUACGGGAGGCAGCAGUGGGGAAUAUUGCGCAAUGGGGGAAACCCUGACGCAGCAACGCCGCGUGAGUGAAGAAGGCCUUCGGGUUGUAAAGCUCUUUAAUCAGGGACGAAGAAUGACGGUACCUGACUAAGAAGCCCCGGCUAAAUACGUGCCAGCAGCCGCGGUAAUACGUAUGGGGCAAGCGUUAUCCGGAUUUACUGGGUGUAAAGGGAGCGUAGGCGGCCUGGCAAGCCUGAUGUGAAAUACCGGGGCCCAACCCCGGGGCUGCAUUGGGAACUGCCAGGCUGGAGUGCCGGAGAG
rnacentral:rRNA from 1 species